ensembl:lncRNA
UCCUGGAACAGUUUAAACAGUGCUGGAGUGAUCCAUCCCUUAAAGGUUUGGUGGAACCUGAGGGGCCAACCUCAGCCUGCAGCUGGCACCUGAAAAGAAGGCCUCAGUGACUCAGAUGAUUGAUCCCAGCAGGGCAGUUUCCGUGGAGCCGACCAUAAGCCUCAGAGAUGCAGACUCCCACGUCCUUGGGGUGGGACUCUCCCUCCCUCCAUCCUGGAUCUUCUUGCUGGUCGAGCCUAGCCCGCCAGAGAGGAGGAUCACAUGUCGGAGUGUAUGUGUCUGUUGUCUGUUUGGGCAGCUGGGUCUCCCCCCGCCCCAGCCUCCGCCGCAGCUCUCUGCUGUUCUGUCCGUGGGGGUCCAGGCGGCCGUGGUACUUCUGCCCACCCUGGU